CACACACACACCUGCCACCAUCCCUCACUGUCCUCUCUGCCACAGCUCUCUGCUCUCAGCUUCCCUGGGGAUGCUCUCUGGUCCAGCCCCAGCCCGAGACUGCGCACUGCGCAGAGCCCCUCCCCCCACAGACAACCAAAGCAAAGCUGCGGAGCCUCAGCUCCUAUCGUCCCACCCGGCUGCUUGCUGGGCAUCCUAAACCUUGGGCGGUGAAGGGCGGAGCUGGAGCCUGCGCUGUAGGGUCCAGUGGUACCCAGGAGAAUGAAGCAGGCCCUCGUGGAUGAUACCGAGGAUGUGUCCUUGGACUUCGGCAAUGAAGAGGAGCUGGCGUUUAGGAAGGCCAAGAUCAGGCACCCCCUGGCCACCUUCUUCCACCUGUUCUUCCGUGUGAGUGCCAUCGUCACCUAUGUGUGCUGUGACUGGUUCAGCAGGAGCUUCGUGGGCUGCUUCGUUACGGUGCUCCUCCUUCUGUCCUUUGACUUCUGGUCUGUGAAGAAUGUAACUGGAAGACUCAUGGUGGGUCUUCGAUGGUGGAACCAGAUAGACGAAGACGGGAAAAGCCACUGGAUAUUUGAAGCCAGAAAGGUCUCUCCAAGCCACAUGGCCGCCACUGAGGCAGAGGCGCGCAUCUUCUGGCUUGGUCUCAUCAUCUGCCCAGUGAUCUGGAUUGUGUUCUUCUUCAGCACCUUGUUCUCCUUGAAGCUGAAGUGGCUGGCUCUUGUGAUCGCUGGGAUUUCCCUCCAAGCUGCCAACCUCUAUGGCUACAUCCUCUGUAAGAUGGGGGGCGAGGGUGACAUCGGUACAGUUGCGGCCAGCUUUCUGUCCCAGACGGUGUUCCAGAUGGCAUCCCCAGGUGACGUUCAGAAGCCCAGGAUUGAAGGACUGGACAUCCACCAGCAUUAGCCUUAGGUGGCCACGGUGAGAUCUACAAGAGGCCAAGUCUGGCCUGUGCCUCAAUGACAGGUUAACGAAGCUAAAACAAACACCAUCUCCUCAGGUGUCCUAACUAGAUGAGCAGAGACCUCACAAUCCGGUCUUGGAGGGUCCUGGCUCAAACGCUGAGCUUUCCAAGCCACUUCACAUGAAGGCUUCUCCCUCGGUCUUGCCUAUCCGAGCUGCUGGCCUUUGAAAUGAGUUUGAGGGUUUAAGGCUCCUCCAGCUGGGGUGUCUACAAACCCAGGGAAGGGCCUCAGGUGCUUCCUCACAGGCCCUGAACUGACAGUACUGAUGCUGCUCACCUCUCAUCCAUGGUGCCCAAGAUCAUCCAUGGUACUUUGCAGGAGUUGGACAUGUGCAAUGGAAGCUGGUAUGGGAUCCUCCUAGGCCCUUGGCCUGGACUACAAAAUCUCCUUCAUUUACAUACAUCUUCCUUCCUCUGCCUGAUGUCGGGACUCAACUCCAUUUCUACUGUCUUUACCCUAGGUCUUUUCCAAACAAGAUGACAAACAGCAGCUUGGAACAGUCUAGUGCCAGGCCUCUACUGGGUCACAGAAGGCAGCCUGAGGGCUGGAGAAACUGCGUUCCUGAUGCUCAUCAACAAGCUCCAUCCAGGGUGACCACAUGCGUCUACACUGUGCACGGCAGAUGGCCCAGCAGUCACUGCCAGGACGCCGCCCCGAGAAUGCAGGCUUCCCUACAGCCUGCUUCCAGUUCUGAGAUGGGGCUCACUCUGUAGCACAGGCUGGCCUGGAACUCUUGGCAGUCCUCUCAAAUGCCAAGGCUACAGGUGUGAGUCAGCACACCCAGCUCACCUGUUUUGUUUUGUUUUUUUUUUUUUUUAAUAACUCUAACUGCAUAAAGAAAUACAGCCUGCCAGGUCCUGUCUCCACACUGAACUGCAUACUGGAAGGUCUUGACAGGUGUGUAGCAAGACACACUUGUAUGGAGGACAGGCACGUGAACUUAGCUCCUCAUGCCUGGCUGGGGCAGAGGCUGUGGUAGACACUCUAAGAAUAUUCCCAACAGCUCUAGAGCCAAAACUUAUUCUGGCCAAUACAGGUCAACUUUUGUUGUUAGAAUUUUUUUUUUUUUUUUGUGGGAGGCAGGGACUGAUUCUCAAACAUAUGCUCCACCACUGUACUGCAGUCCCCACCCCUUGUGGAAAAUGCAAUGUGAUCAAAAAGACUGCACUGUACUAGGCAAUGGAAAUUUGACCCUCUGGUGGCAAGAGACUGUCCCCUAACAGAACAUUUAACCUGCUCUGGCCUGUGGCUUGGGUAGGUUGCUCUCAAAGCAAUCACCCUCUGAAUUUCAGUUAGCAAAGUGCAGCCAUGAUGAGGACGGCUGUCGGGGACAUUUCCAGGACACUGUGCGGGAGGAGCAGGACUUGCACUUUAACUGCUCCCUCUCGCCCAGGCCUCUGAGCCCCAUCUCACAGACCAGAAAAUGGAGGCAGAGUCUGGUAACCGGCCUGGGCAUCAGCAGUGAUGUGGGUAGAGCUGGGAUAUGAAGUUGCGCUGCCCUUGGCUGGCACCACCCUUUAUUAAAGCUGGUACUGCUGCAGAGUGCUGGGGAUCUGAGUUAGUUUUGUCUGCUCUGAGACAGGGUCUCACUCUGUAGACAUGGCUGGCCUUGAAUUCAGACAUCCUCCUGCCCCCAGGCUCCAACAUACUGGGAUUUACAAGCAUGUGUCACAUGGGUCUGGUGAGGUGAUUCCAAUUUCAUGUCUGUACACUUGAGAUGAAUGACCUAGCACAAGGGUCAUUUCUAUAAGAGGCAACAGAAAAUGUUUCCUGCUUUAUGGACAAAAACAAGAAUAAUGUAUAGGUGUUUGUGUGACUUGGGAAGUAACCAUUUAAAUAUGUAAAUACCAUUCUUCACUCACAGGAGAUGGACCAAACUGUAGUUCAGGAUCUGGACUUCAAGAAGACAGAAAGAGCUUUAUGAGGGGCAGGUAGAAGGGGCCCCAGUGAAACGUGACAAUCAGCUGCCCUCUUGGUUAGAGAACCCAGUGAAACACCUUAGCCAGUGGCCAGGCAGCUCCUCAUUCUCUCUCAGGGUCAAGACAGUCAGAGAGGUUGGUUCCCUGGAGACUCAGAAUCACCCCCUAGAGCCAUCAGGGGCUCUGACACAAGAGCACCUCCCAGCACAGCCCAG